rnacentral:rRNA from 1 species
GAUGAACGCUGGCGGCGUGCCUAAUACAUGCAAGUCGAGCGAACAGACGAGGAGCUUGCUCCUCUGACGUUAGCGGCGGACGGGUGAGUAACACGUGGAUAACCUACCUAUAAGACUGGGAUAACUUCGGGAAACCGGAGCUAAUACCGGAUAAUAUAUUGAACCGCAUGGUUCAAUAGUGAAAGACGGUUUUGCUGUCACUUAUAGAUGGAUCCGCGCCGCAUUAGCUAGUUGGUAAGGUAACGGCUUACCAAGGCAACGAUGCGUAGCCGACCUGAGAGGGUGAUCGGCCACACUGGAACUGAGACACGGUCCAGAAUCCUACGGGAGGCAGCAGUAGGGAAUCUUCCGCAAUGGGCGAAAGCCUGACGGAGCAACGCCGCGUGAGUGAUGAAGGUCUUCGGAUCGUAAAACUCUGUUAUUAGGGAAGAACAAAUGUGUAAGUAACUAUGCACGUAUUGACGGUACCUAAUCAGAAAGCAACGGCUAACUACGUG